rnacentral:rRNA from 1 species
GUACAACUCUGAGCGGUGGAUCACUCGGCUCGUGUGUCGAUGAAGAGCGCAGCCAACUGUGUGAAUUAAUGUGAACUGCCUACUGCUUUGAACAUCGACAUCUUGAACGCACAUUGCGGCUACGGGUUUACCUGUGGCCACGCCUGUCCGAGGGUCG